AGAGUUUGAUCCUGGCUCAGAACGAACGCUGGCGGCGCGUCUUAAGCAUGCAAGUCGGGCGGCAAGGUGCAGCGAUGCAUCCUAGAGCGGCGGACUGGUGAGUAACGCGUGGGUGAUCUGCCUUGAGGUUGGGGAUAGUCCUUAGAAAUAGGGGGUAAUACCGAAUAUGGUUAUCCGGUUAUGGCUGGAUAAAGAAAGGAGCUAAGGCUCCGCCUUGAGAUGGGCCCGCGUCCCAUUAGGUAGUUGGUGAGGUAAAGGCCCACCAAGCCCGGGAUGGGUAGCCGGCCUGAGAGGGUGAACGGCCACACUGGGACUGAGAUACGGCCCAGACUCCUACGGGAGGCAGCAGCUAAGAAUAUUCCGCAAUGGCCGGAAGGCUGACGGAGCGACGCCGCGUGGAUGAGGAAGGCCGAAAGGUUGUAAAAUCCUUUUGCCGGAGAAGAAUAAGCCCGGGAGGGAAUGCCCGGGGGAUGACGUUAUCCGGUGAAUAAGCCCCGGCUAAUUACGUGCCAGCAGCCGCGGUAACACGUAAGGGGCGAGCGUUGUUCGGAAUUAUUGGGCGUAAAGGGCGCGUAGGCGGUUACGCGGGUCUGGCGUGAAAGGCGGGAGCUUAACUCCCGGACUGCGCUGGAAACUGGGUGACUGGAGUCAUGGAGGGGCAGUUGGAAUUCCUGGUGUAGGGGUGAAAUCUGUAGAUAUCAGGAAGAACACCGGUGGCGAAGGCGGACUGCUAGCCAAUGACUGACGCUGAGGCGCGAAAGCGCGGGGAGCAAACAGGAUUAGAUACCCUGGUAGUCCGCGCUAUAAACGAUGCACACUAGGUGUUGGGCCGAGCGGCUCAGUGCCGGAGCGAACGCGAUAAGUGUGCCGCCUGGGGAGUAUGCCCGCAAGGGUG
rnacentral:rRNA from 1 species